GCCGAGCUCAGCAGCGCGAGCUUGUAACCCGAGCGGGGGCAUUAAGGUGGUGUGGACGUUGCCGUGUGGCUGCGGGCCUGGGUUGGCAGUGCCAUAGAUGGCCCGCCCGUUCCAAGUUGCGUAGUUGGGCCGGCGGGGCUUGAGCGAAAGCUUUCUGGCCUCACGGUUCCUAGAGUGGCAGGCAUUGCGUGAGGCUGGCUUCACAGAGCAGCGAAUACUGUCCGCAUCCAACGGUGGAAGGAUAACGGGCCGCCGCUCUGCUGGCCCGCUUGGGUCUCGCAGCCUACUCCAACGGACCACCACUUUU
rfam:Oryza glumipatula chromosome 2, whole genome shotgun sequence.